rnacentral:rRNA from 1 species
GACGAACGCUGGCGGCGUGCUUAACACAUGCAAGUCGAACGGAAAGGCCCUGUUGUUGGGUGGUCCAGGGGUGACGGGGGGGGGAAUACGACAGUAGUAUCCCCUUCUUUUUGGUAUGAUAACAUGAAGAAGGGGCGAAUAAUACCUAGGAGCACCUGCUGCAUCGUGGGGGUGGGUAGGGAUUGGCGGCUGGGGAUGGAGUCGUGGCUUAUUAGCUUGUUGGUGGGGUAGUGGCUGACCAAGGCUUUGACGGGUAGUCGGCCUGAGAGGGUGACCGGCCACAUUGGGACUGAGAUACGGCCCAGACUCCUACGGGAGGCAGCAGUGGGGAAUAUUGCACAAUGGGCGGAAGCCUGAUGCAGCAACGCCGCGUGCGGGAUGACGGCCUUCGGGUUGUAAACCGCUUUCGCCUGUGACGAAGCGUGAGUGACGGUAAUGGGUAAAGAAGCACCGGCUAACUACGUG